rnacentral:rRNA from 1 species
AUUGAACGCUGGCGGCACGCCUAACACAUGCAAGUCGAGCGGCAGCGAGACUAGUAGCAAUACUAGUUGUCGGCGAGCGGCGGACGGGUGAGUAACACGUAGGAAUCUGCCCCUAAGCGGGGGAUAACCAAGGGAAACUUUGGCUAAUACCGCAUAAUCUCGGGAGAGCAAAGCUGCCCGCAAGGGUGGCACUUGAGGAGGAGCCUGCGUCCGAUUAGCUAGUUGGUGGGGUAAUGGCCUACCAAGGCGAUGAUCGGUAACUGGUCUGAGAGGACGACCAGUCACACUGGGACUGAGACACGGCCCAGACUCCUACGGGAGGCAGCAGUGGGGAAUAUUGGACAAUGGGGGCAACCCUGAUCCAGCGAUGCCGCGUGAGUGAAGAAGGCCUUCGGGUCGUAAAGCUCUUUAGGUUGGGAAGAAGGGUAUUGGCUGAAUAAUCCAGUACUUUGACGGUACCGACAGAAUAAGCACCGGCAAACUCUGUGCCAGCAGCCGCAGUAAUAC